rnacentral:rRNA from 1 species
AGUGAACGCUGGCGGUAGGCCUAACACAUGCAAGUCGAACGGCAGCACAGUAAGAGCUUGCUCUUACGGGUGGCGAGUGGCGGACGGGUGAGGAAUACAUCGGAAUCUACUUUUUCGUGGGGGAUAACGUAGGGAAGCUUACGCUAAUACCGCAUACGACCUACGGGUGAAAGCAGGGGAUCUUCGGACCUUGCGCGAUUGAAUGAGCCGAUGUCGGAUUAGCUAGUUGGCGGGGUAAAGGCCCACCAAGGCGACGAUCCGUAGCUGGUCUGAGAGGAUGAUCAGCCACACUGGAACUGAGACACGGUCCAGACUCCUACGGGAGGCAGCAGUGGGGAAUAUUGGACAAUGGGCGCAAGCCUGAUCCAGCCGUACCGCGUGGGUGAAGAAGGCCUUCGGGCUGUAAAGCCCUUUUGUUGGGAAAGAAAAGCAGCAGGUUAAUACCCCGCUGUUCUGACGGUACCCAAAGGAUAAGCACCGGCUAACUUCGUG